rnacentral:rRNA from 1 species
UUGAAAUUCUGGGUCUUUCCAGAGUCCGAGUUGUAAUUUGCAGAGGGCGCUUUGGCUUUGGCAGCGGUCCAAGUUCCUUGGAACAGGACGUCACAGAGGGUGAGAAUCCCGUACGUGGUCGCUAGCUAUUGCCGUGUAAAGCCCCUUCGACGAGUCGAGUUGUUUGGGAAUGCAGCUCUAAAUGGGAGGUAAAUUUCUUCUAAAGCUAAAUAUUGGCCAGAGACCGAUAGCGCACAAGUAGAGUGAUCGAAAGAUGAAAAGCACUUUGGAAAGAGAGUCAAACAGCACGUGAAAUUGUUGAAAGGGAAGCGCUUGCAGCCAGACUUGCUUGCAGUUGCUCAUCCGGGCUUUUGCCCGGUGCACUCUUCUGCAGGCAGGCCAGCAUCAGUUUGGGCGGUGGGAUAAAGGUCUCUGACACGUUCCUUCCUUCGGGUUGGCCAUAUAGGGGAGACGUCAUACCACCAGCCUGGACUGAGGUCCGCGCAUCUGCUAGGAUGCUGGCGUAAUGGCUGUAAGCGGCCCGUCUUGAAACACGGACCAAGGAGUCUAACAUCUAUGCGAGUGUUUGGGUGUCAAGCCCGAGCGCGUAAUGAAAGUGAACGGAGGUGGGAACCCGCAAGGGCGCACCAUCGACCGAUCCUGAAGUUUACGGAAGGAUUUGAGUAAGAGCAUGGCUGUUGGGACCCGAAAGAUGGUGAACUAUGCUUGAAUAGGGUGAAGCCAGAGGAAACUCUGGUGGAGGCUCGCAGCGGUUCUGACGUGCAAAUCGAUCGUCAAAUUUGGGCAUAGGGA